rnacentral:tRNA from 1 species
GGGGAUGUAGCUCAGGUGGUAGAGCGUUCGCUUAGCAUGCGAGAAGUACGGUGAUCGAUUUCCUGCAUCUCCG